UACGAGGGGGGCGAGCGUUGUUCGGAAUUAUUGGGCGUAAAGGGUGCGUAGGCGGUUCCGCAAGUCCUGUGUGAAAUCUUCGGGCUCAACUCGAAGUCUGCACGGGAAACUGCGGGGCUUGAGUGUGGGAGAGGUGAGUGGAAUUCCCGGUGUAGCGGUGAAAUGCGCAGAUAUCGGGAAGAACACCGAUGGCGAAAGCACUCUGCUGGGCCGAAACUGACACUGAGAGACGAAAGCCAGGGGAGCGAACGGG
rnacentral:rRNA from 1 species